GCAAGACUCGCACGGCCUCGCCGCCCGCCGCCGCCGUCGGGGCUGUCGCGCGCACCGCCAGCUCGCUUCCUCUCCACCAAUCCCCCGUCCUCCCCACCAACCCGAGUUGUUCCUCCCCGCCACCUCUCCUUCCCCAUAAAUCUUCUCCCUCCGCUGCUGCCGCCACCUCUCCUUCCCCAUUCAUCUUCUCCCUCCGCUGCCGCCGCCACCCCUAUCUCUCCUUCUCAUGCAUCCUCUCUCCUUGUCACAUAUGAUCGGACGAGAUUGCUGUUGCCGAUGGAAGGAGGUGGUACUCUCUGCUCGAGGUGGCAGCAUCGUCGGUGAUGCUAAGCAAGCCUAGCAGGGGAAGAAAUGGGCAAGCAAGACCAGCAGGGUAAGGAAUAUGGUGUGGCCUCACACGUUGGUUUGUUGCUUGCACCUGAAGAAGACACAGGCCAGCAGUCGAUGGACAGCAUAUGGUGUUGGUUACAACAGGCUUUGAGGUAGGAUGUGAUUCUUAUCUUUGAAGAAUGCCAGGCUCGAGUUGUGAAUCUGCUGCUACACAUUGGCUGAGGAAAGCAACAAGCAUACAAAAGAUAGUAAGCAAUCUCUUGACUGUGAGCCAAUGAGAUUUACGAACUUCAUGCACUAACACUCUAAAUAAGUAUAGAUUCAGACCUCACCAUAUACAGGUUCAUCCUAUUGCUUGCCUCGCUAUUCCAUGUUCAUUUUUAUUUUGUGCUAAUGAAGUUAUUGCUGGAUUAAUUAGAAGGAGGUGUGUUAUGCCAGAGCAGGAGGCUGGAAGGGAUCUAAUACUAUGGUGAACAUUUUCUUCAAUCAUACCAAAAUACAUUAAAAAAUUACCUGCAGUUGUUGUCCUGAUUUACACGAGAAACUUCCACAUGCAGAUGGUCUGAGGUUAUCUACUGAUUCAAAGUUUUGCACACUAUAAAUGCUAUUUUUUCCUAAUUAUUUAGGUAUAGGUGCUUGAUUUCUUUGGGUUUAGGACUGCUUCUGGAUGCUUAAUUGAUCUUUGUUAUGAGAUUGUAGAUACUGUUGUGGGGUGGGGAAUGAGUGCAUCUCACACUUGGUCUCGCCGGGGUUCCAUUUGGCUUCACUUUGCUCCUCUUCUUCUGCAGAUCCUUUGCGGGUUGAGUUAUUGGUGAAAUAUGGAUGGCUUCUCGUGUAGAACCGAGUUUACAUAAUUUUUUAUUUUAUAGAUAGACAUAUGCUUUUAUCAGGUUUGGUUAUGGUAUGUUCAUAUUAUGUAGGAAGAGCAUCUUCAUAUCAGGAACAAAAAUCAUGGGUGGAAGCUAUUGACCAUGAGGAUUUACUUCAGUGACCUUCACCUGAACUAUAAGUUGGAUAAAAUGCAGUAAAAAAUAUUAUUGCAUGCUUAUCAUCAUGAUGAACUUAGUGGUAGAUCUACCUUGCAGGUCAUUGUCGCGACUCAGGGGUAGAUCUACUAAAUUCUGAACAUGUUCCAUGUGAGACAAAUAGCAUGUUAAUUUCAUCUUGAAAUAAUCAUAGCUAGGGGAUGAGGUUGCUAGCUGAGUGUCAUGUGCAGAGCUGGAGGAAGAAGGUGCGAGGCUUGGAACUCUCCUUCUGAAGGGCUCAGGGACAACAGUGAGGAGCAUGGCCGGUGUCCAGCUCGACCUCCUCAUUUUUAUGUUGUCCUUGAUAAGACUAACAUUACAUCUUAUUGUUAAGAUAGGGUGAUUUUGAGAAGUGACGUUUCAUUUACUUGUGGAAUUUAGCCUAAUUGCAAAUUGCAAAGCUAGGGAAGCGUAGUCAUCAUUCAGCUUUCGAGUUAUAAGAGAUUUUUAGUGUUACGGUACGACUUGAAAUUAAUGCAGCUUGAUGUAUUCUGUCAUAGCGGAUUAUUGGAGAAUGUUGUAGUUGUAUGUUUAUACUUUACUUAAAAUGAAUUGUUUCAUAUAGUAUGUCUAUCUUACUUGUCUCCUACAGUAUGUCCUAACUGUUAAUCCACAACAUGCCGCACAGGAACAUGUUACAUUACUAGAUUACAAUUAUUCAUGAGGGUUUAUUUCCAUUCUUUUCUCUCUUGGAUGGAGGAGUUAUUUGGCAGGCUGGCUUUGUAGUAUUUCAAUUCCAUGAGUACUAAUUUAUCAGGCCUGAUUUCUCAUGUUAUAAUUUAAGCUUUGUUGCCACCCACUCAAGUUUGCUUGCUACGUUUUUGACAGUACCUCCAUUAGAACCAAAGAUAUUUUAGUUAAUUGAUGUUCAUAAGGUCUUGCUCAUAUAUAUUCAUGUUUUAUUAUCAGUUUAAACUAAUCUUACUUGUAUGGUUUGAAUGCCUAGUUUGCUCUCGCUUUUUACGCCAGGGACGCAACGGGUCAUACUCUGUCGUGGAUAAGAUAUGUUGCACAUCAUCUUAAUGAUGCUAUUUUAACACAAGGGCAGAUUCUACACGAAGCAAACAAGUAUUAUUGGGGUCUGGAUGAUGAUAUCGGCAAUGGAAGCCCACCAGACACACCAUCAUGAAGAGUUGCUUACAUGAAGUCAUUUUUCAUAUCGGUGGCACGCGCAACCAUGACUCCACGCUGAUAUUCAUCACUACUCACUACUCAUCACGGGCUAAAUGAUUGAAGCUAUAUAUGGGCAUUUCUACUUAUGUUGCUUUCUUGAUACACGCAAUGUAAAUUGGUUAUUGAAAAUUGAUCGCGUGUCUUUCUUAUGAUGCUAUGUAUCAACUUCAUACCUAAAUAUCUAUUUCCUUUUGAUUCAA